rnacentral:rRNA from 1 species
UACGUAGGGUGCAAGCGUUAAUCGGAAUUACUGGGCGUAAAGCGUGCGCAGGCGGCUUUGCAAAACAGAUGUGAAAGCCCCGGGCUUAACCUGGGAACUGCGUUUGAAACUGGGGAGCUGGAGUGUAGAAGAGGGGGGUGGAAUUCCAGGUGUAGCAGUGAAAUGCGUAGAUAUCUGGAGGAACACCGAUGGCGAAGGCAGCCCCCUGGGCUAACACUGACGCUCAUGCACGAAAGCGUGGGGAGCAAACAGG